AUCAUUUUGUACGCUGAGCUUUUACAUCGUCGUUUAACACCUGGCGAGUGUGAAAUCCGGAAACCUGUAAUCUGUCACCGCACGUCUGAUUCACAGCGAUGGCCGCUUCUGGCUUUUACCAUCAAAUUAACGCUUCUUAAAGAAACUCCAUGUAAAGUCGUGUCAGAGAACUUCCGCUUGCAGACAGGAAGUGGCUUUGAUGAAGUGCGUCUGACCUGGAGACAAAACAUGGAAAUAUAAGAGCUCUGCAGCCGGUCACAUGCUGUUUCAUCGGUCAGGAAGAGCAAAUCACCAUCACCUGUGUGUGGCCUGCUCUC